UACCUGACAAAGGUUUUGGUUCAUUACAAACUUCAUAUUAGAUUUGACAGCGAAUCGUUUUGGAAUUAAAGGUUCUUCCAUAAUCUCUCUAUUAAAAUCGUUCCACAGUCUCUCGUAGUCUGCCUCUGUUUCACAGCUGAUCAUUUGAAUCAUCAAUGAUCGAAAAUCUCUGGACGCUUUGUCGUGUAGGUUUCGUUUGUCGGCUGGUCUGAGGAAUGAAACAGUGGCUGCGAGUAUUGUUGAAAUAGCGCCAAAUGCUGCUACUCCUUCAGGCGGAAUGAAAGACAGCAAAGCUGCAGCAGUAGUACAUGCUAAAAAGCCAAAUCGG